rnacentral:lncRNA from 1 species
UAACUUUUAUUUAACAUUUAGAUCCAUUCAAACAAACUUUUAUUAACUUUUAAAAGCAUUCUUCAAAACCAAUUCAAAUAUAACUUUCAACACCAAUUCGAUAUAACUUAUAAAUUCAUUUCAAAUCAAUCUUCAACACCAAUUCCAAAUCAACUUUCACAUCCAUUCAAAUGUUUUCCAAUACAAUUCAUACACAUUCAGAAUUUCCAUAUAAAACAAAUCUUAAGCUUUAAUCCAAUAACAUGUUCUACGCAUGGCCCUCCAAUUUCAACAGAACAAUAGAACCCUGCAAUUUUAGACAAAACACACUAAUUAAAGUUCCUUCAUUCAAAACUAUUAAAAACAUGAACCCACGACACAAUUCUUGAACUCUGAGACGAAAAAAGCCCAAAGAUGCGAUCCGGAAACGCGAACAUGAUGCAAAGAACGUGAAUCCAGAACGCGAUGAUGAAACUACUUGAAACGCCGCGCCAUAAUCCAGAACGCGAUGAUGUUGAUGUUUGAGACGCGAUGAUCCAUGAACACGAUGUCGUUGUUGUUGCAGCUUUGGGCUUUUUGGAUAAGCGUUUUUCAGCUUGGUGAUUUUCUAAAUUAGCAUUGAUCCAUGCACAUUGCAUUGAUGUUACUAUUUCCAAUUAUCUCACAUAAAAGAAUUAUCAUAUAACCAAAUAGAACAAAAAUAC